rnacentral:rRNA from 1 species
GAUGAACGCUGGCGGCGUGCCUAACACAUGCAAGUCGAGCGAACCCUUCGGGGUGAGCGGCGGACGGGUGAGUAACGCGUGGGUAACCUGCCCUAUACACACGGAUAACGUACCGAAAGGUACGCUAAUACGGGAUAAAGAUGUUGGAGUGCAUCUUCUAACAAUCAAAGCUCUGGCGGUAGAGGGUGGAUCCGCGUCGGAUUAGGUAGUUGGUGAGGUAAUGGCUCACCAAGGCGACGAUCAGUAGCCGACCUGAGAGGGUGAUCGGCCACACUGGAACUGAGACACGGUCCAGACUCCUACGGGAGGCAGCAGUGGGGAAUAUUGCACAAUGGGCGAAAGCCUGAUGUAGCAACGCCGCGUGAGCGAUGAAGGUCUUCGGAUCGUAAAGCUCUGUCCUCGAGGAAGAUAAUGACGGUACUUGAGGAGGAAGCCCCGGCUAACUACGUGCCAGCAGCCGCGGUAA